rnacentral:tRNA from 1 species
UGUAAGCUCAGUGGUAGAGUGCUUGCCUAGCAUGCAAGAGGCCUUGGGUUUGAUACCCAGCA